UCAAGCGAACAAGGGCGCAGGGCGAAUGCCUUGGCACUGGGAGCCGAUGAAAGACGUGAUAAGCUGCGAUAAGCUUCGGGGAGCUGCAAAUAAGCAUUGAUCCGGAGAUUUCUGAAUGAGGAAACUCACCUGGGUUCAUACUCAGGUACAAUACACUGAAAUUCAAAAUAGGUGUAUUGAGGGAACCGCCUGAACUGAAACAUCUAAGUAGGGCGAGGAAGAGACAUCAAACGAGAUUCCGUAAGUAGUGGCGAGCGAACGCGGAAGAGGGCAAACCGAGAGUAGAAAUACUUUCGGGGUACGGACUGCUUUUAAGACUUAAUCUGUUAACCGAACGGCAUGGGAAGGCCGGUCAGAGAGUGUGAGAACCACGUAGGUGAAAACGGAGAGAGCUGCGCAGGAUCCAGAGUACGGCCAGACACGUGAAACCUGGUCGGAAUAUGGGGGGACCACCCUCCAACCCUAAAUACUACCCAGUGACCGAUAGCGUAUAGUACUGUGAAGGAAAGGUGAAAAGCACCCCGGGAGGGGAGUGAAAAAGAACCUGAAACCCUGUGCCUACAAGCACCUAGAGCACGUCAAUGUGUGAUAGGGUACUUUUUGUAGAACGGUCCGGCGAGCGAUUGUAUGCAGCAAGGUUAAGGACUUAAGGUCUGGAGCCGAAGCGAAAGCGAGUUUGAAAAGGGCGUUAAGUUGCAUAUAAUGGGCCCGAAACCGGGUGACCUACCCAUGGUCAGGUUGAAGUGGAAGUAAAAUUCCAUGGAGGACCGAACCGACCUCCGUUGAAAAGGCGGCGGAUGAACUGUGGGUAGCGGAGAAAUUCCAAUCGAACCCGGAGAUAGCUGGUUCUCCCCGAAAUAGUUUUAGGACUAGCCUCAAGUUAGAUACCUGGAGGUAAAGCACUGAAUAGCCUAGCGGCCGAGAGGUUAGCGAAGCUUAUCAAACUCAGAAUGCCAGAGUAUUGAUGCUUGGGAGUCAGACAGUGUCAGAUAAAUGUCAUUGUCAAAAGGGAAACAGCCCAGAUCUACAGCUAAGGUCCCAAAGUCAGGUUAAGUGGAAAACGAUGUGAAGAUACGCAGACAACCAGGAUGUUGGCUCAGAAGCAGCCACUCAUUCAAAGAGUGCGUAAUAGCUCACUGGUCGAGCGUCUUUGCGCGGAGAAUUUAACGGGGCUAAACCUGACACCGAAGCUUAGGCAAUACAGCAAUGUAUUGGGUAGGGGAGCGUUGUAUACGCGGAGAAACAGUAGCGCAAGCGGCUGUGGAGUGUAUAGAAGUGAGAAUGCCGGAAUGAGUAGCGCGAAUGCAGUGAGAAUCUGCAUGGCCGAAAGCCUCAGGUUUCUGGAGGAAGGUUCGUCCGCUCCAGGUUAGUCGGGAGCUAAGGUGAGGCCGGAAGGCGUAGCCGAUGCACAGACGGUAGAGAUUCCGUCACCACCAAAAGAGUUAAGCACAGGGACACAUAUGAAGUCUCAGAGCCGGGUGUUGGUUCCGGUAGAGAUCGAGGGAAAUUAGUACCGAAGUCUGAGAUGGAAGAUGGCGAGAAAAGCUGUGUGUAUUUCUGAGGUGCCCGUACCGCAAACCGACACAGGUAGGUAGGAAGAAGAUUCUAAGGCCAACGGGAGAAGGGUUGUUAAGGAACUCGGCAAAUUGACCCCGUAACUUCGGGAGAAGGGGUGCUCCAGAGAUGGAGCCGCAGAGAAUCGGCCCAAGCAACUGUUUACCAAAAACACAGGUUUGUGCUAAAUCGAAAGAUGACGUAUACGAGCUGACGCCUGCCCGGUGCUGGAAGGUUAAGAGGAGAUGUGCAAGCAUUGAAUCGAAGCCCCAGUGAACGGCGGCCGUAACUAUAACGGUCCUAAGGUAGCGAAAUUCCUUGUCAGGU
rnacentral:rRNA from 1 species